rnacentral:rRNA from 1 species
AUUGAACGCUGGCGGCAGGCCUAACACAUGCAAGUCGAGCGAUCGGCGGACGGGUGAGUAAUGUCUGGGAAACUGCCUGAUGGAGGGGGAUAACUACUGGAAACGGUAGCUAAUACCGCAUACCAUCAGAUUUUCCCAGAUGGGUUUAGCUGGUCGGUGGGGUAACGGCUCACCUGGGCGACGAUCCCUAGCUGGUCUGCGAGGAUGACCAGCCACAUGGGAACUGAGACACGGUCCAGACGCCUACGGGAGGCAGCAGUGGGGAAUAUUGCAAAAUGGGCGCAAGCCGGAUGCAGCCAUGCCGCGUGUAUGAAGAAGGCCUUCGGGUUGUAAAGUACUUUCAGCGGGGAGGCGUUACCCGCAGAAGAAGCACCGGCUAACUCCGUGCCAGCAGCCGCGGUAAUAC